rnacentral:rRNA from 1 species
AGGGCACCACCAGGAGUGGAGCCUGCGGCUUAAUUUGACUCAACACGGGAAAACUCACCCGGCCCGGACACUGGAAGGAUUGACAGAUUGAGAGCUCUUUCUUGAUUCAGUGGGUGGUGGUGCAUGGCCGUUCUUAGUUGGUGGAGUGAUUUGUCUGGUUAAUUCCGAUAACGAACGAGACUCUAGCCUACUAAAUAGAUCGUCGGCUUACAAACGCCGGCGAGACUUCAUAGAGGGACAGGCGGUGAUUCAACCGCACGAAACAGAGCAAUAACAGGUCUGUGAUGCCCUUAGAUGUCCGGGGCCGCACGCGCGCUACACUGAAGUGAUCAGCGUGCUUUUUCAACCUACUCUGUCAAGAGUGGGGAACCCAAUGAACCUUCUUCGUGAUUGGGAUAGGGGAUUGUAAUUAUUCCCCUUGAACGAGGAAUUCCCAGUAAGCGCGAGUCAUAAGCUCGCGUUGAUUACGUCCCUGCCCUUUGUACACACCGCCCGUCGCUACUACCGAUUGAAUGUUUU